rnacentral:rRNA from 1 species
CUUGGUCAUUUAGAGGAAGUAAAAGUCGUAACAAGGUUUCCGUAGGUAUGUAAUCGUGUCGCUCCCCUAAUUUUGCGGACUUGUGCUAACUUUUCUAGGUGAACCUGCGGAGGGAUCAUUACCGGGUCUGGGUUCUUCGUGAGCCCACCUUCCCACCCUGUGUCGACCGUACCGUGUUGCUUCGGCGGGCCCGUCGCGCCGCCGUGCGUGACCGCCGGGGGGUCUCUCGACCCUUUGGUCCGCGCCCGCCAGGAGCCCCGUCAAACUCAUGGUUCAACGUGACGUCUGAGGAAAUACUAUAAUGCAAAUGCAAAACUUUCAACAACGGAUCUCUUGGUUCUGGCAUCGAUGAAGAACGCAGCGAAAUGCGAUAAGUAAUGCGAAUUGCAGAAUCCGUGAGUCAUCGAAUCUUUGAACGCACAUUGCGCCCUUUGGCAUUCCGAAGGGCAUGCCUGUCCGAGCGUCAUUAUCUACCCUCAAGCUCCGGCUUGGUGUUGGGUCUGGUCGGCCCCUGACGGUCGACCGACCUCAAAGGCAACGACGGCAGGUCGUGGAACCCCCGGUGCAACGAGCUCCCCGAGCACGCACCGCCGCUGGGCCCGCGACGGCCGGUCACUCUCUCCUUCUCAGGUUGACCUCGGAUCAGGUAGGGAUACCCGCUGAACUUAAGCAUAUCAAUAAGCGGAGGA